UAUUGUCGUUUGGGUGAAUACCCAAAUGACGGGUUGUGCCCGUUUUAUGAUAGGCUCUCCGAUAACCUAAAACAGAUACAAAUGUGAAAUGUAUUUGGGGAUAUAUGUGUUUAAAAUAGAAGUAAUCAGGUUUUUUUGUGAAACAAAAAUCAGUUUGUCAAUAUAUAAAAGGGCGCGGUGGUAGAGUCUAAAGGAGGUCGUGAUCGUGGCAGGUCCACUGUUCGACGUAUCAGCGGCAGGUCCGGCGAAUGGAAUUAUUCAAUAGAUGGUGAAAACGAGAAUGCAGAGAAGCUUGUUGGAAUAAUUGGAGGAGCUAUCGGAGCUACACUUAUUGUGUUGUUACUCAUUUGCUGCUGCUAUUUUUGGGAUAACUCCGGUGCGGGGAAUCGUAUCAAUCAAUCCGCAGCGCUACAAUCAGUUAGAACUGAACAUGUCAACGUCCAGCCACCACCUUAUGCGUCAUUAGAUAAUAAAGAUACUAUGCCAAAUGCCAAACAACCUGUGUUCACUACUGCUGUGAAUGAUGAAACCGGUUAACAGCCAGACGCAAGUUUAGUUUCGAACUAGAAAGAUUAGUGUAUACAAUUUAAAGAAACUGGACGUUGGUUUAUAUGGAAUGGCAAUAUGGUAAACAAUCUGUGUAUUGAUUAUUUUAAUACUGCUGUUCAAGAAUUCUUUGCGCAAAAUCUGUAUUGUCAUUUUUUAAAUGUCAGAAAACCAUGCCUUUAUGCUAAGCUAUUUGUUAUAUCUACAUUUUGCCAUUUCUAACGCAUGUUAGGAAAUAGUUAUUCUUCGUAUACGUUAAUCAAUAUAUUUGAACUCCAUUUGUUGAUUGUUUCUAACAACAGUAUUAACAUACUCAAUACGCGGUUUGGAAUUUUGAUCUUUCUGAACUUCCAUAGGUUUAAACCUCAUUGGAGUUUAUAUGUUUGGAGCAUGCCUUCGUCUGAAAUUACAACUUGUAUACAAUUGAAACACCUCGGCCAUCUCCGUCAAACAACGAGCCGAUCGGAACACCUCGGCUUUCUCCGUCAUACAUCAAGCCAAUCGAAACAUCUCGACCAUCUCCGUCAUACAACGAGCCAAUCGAAACACUUCGGCCAUCUCCGUCAUACAACGUGCCAAUCGGGUUACCUCGGCCAUCUCCGUCAUACAACGAGCCAAUCGAAACACCUCGGCCAUCUCCGUCAUACAACGAGCCAAUCGAAACACCUCGGCCAUCUCCGUCAUACAACGAGCCAAUCGAAACACCUCGGCCAUCUCCGUCAUACAAGGAGCCAAUCGGAACACCUCGGCAAUUAUCCAACAUAUAUGACCACGGAAAUAAUAUGGGUCUUUUAAGUGCUCUAUCAUGGAAGCGCCCAUAUUGAACACGUGUUGUAUGUGUGGUCAACCCUCAAGGUAUACAUUUUUGCCGCUAGGCCGCUUGUGUUAUUACUACAUGUACUUUUGAGUAGACUGAAAACAGAAUUUCUCCAUUUCUCAGUGUGGGAGCCACAUUCGGGAGUAGUUCUCCAAGCUAAUGAAUGUUGAGUGCAUAAUAAAUGGUUGUUGUUGUUAUUUGA